GGAGAGGUGCAGGAGUGGUUGAUCUGGCUCGCCUGGAAAGCGUGUAUACCGCAAGGUAUCAAGGGUUCGAAUCCCUUCCUCUCCG
rnacentral:tRNA from 1 species